AGAGUUUGAUCAUGGCUCAGGAUGAACGCUGGCGGCGUGCUUAACACAUGCAAGUCGAACGGUUUAAGCAAUUAAACAGUGGCGCACGGGUGAGUAACACGUAGCUAACCUGCCCUUCAGCGCGGGAUAACGUUCCGAAAGGAAUGCUAAUACCGCAUAAGCUCACAUUUUGUAAAGGGAUGUGAGAAAAGGCGAAAGUCACUGAAGGAGGGGGCUGCGACCCAUCAGCUAGUUGGUGAGGUAAUGGCUUACCAAGGCGACGACGGGUAGGGGGCCUGAGAGGGUGGCCCCCCACACUGGGACUGAGACACGGCCCAGACUCCUACGGGAGGCAGCAGUGAGGAAUAUUGCACAAUGGGGGAAACCCUGAUGCAGCGACGCCGCGUGGGUGAUGAAGGUUUUCGGAUCGUAAAGCCCUUUUCUGCAUGACGAGAACGGACGGUAGUGCAGAAUAA
rnacentral:rRNA from 1 species